AUCGAUGAAGAACGCAGCGAAAUGCGAUAAAUAAUGUGAAUUGCAGAAUUCAGUGAAUCAUCGAGUCUUUGAACGCACAUUGCGCCCCUCGGUAUUCCGGGGGGCAUGCCUGUUCGAGCGUCAUUACACCCCUCAAGCGUAGCUUGGUAUUGGGCCCUCGCCCCCGUGGCGUGCCCGGAAAACAGUGGCGGUCCGGUGAGACUUUAAGCGUAGUAAAUUUUCAUCCCGCUUUGAAAGAUCCCUCCGUGGCCUGCCAGACAACCCCCAUAUUUCAAUCAUUGACCUCGGAUCAGGUAGGGAUACCCGCUGAACUUAA
rnacentral:rRNA from 1 species